UCCAAACCCUGUCCCCGUCUCCCACCUGCAGAGCCACCUGUUCCCUGCUGGUGACGGACCAGAGCUACCCCCCCGAGGAGCAGGUGGCCUGAGAGAGCCUGCACAAUGUGGACGGCGACAGCUGCUUCUGCGACACCGACUUCCACCUGAGCCACGCUCUGGGCAAAGAGGCGGCCGGCGGGCCUCCCCCGGAGGCAGCAGCACCUCCACCAGCGGCAAGGUGGACCAGGACUACAUGAUCGCCUUGUCACUCCAACAGCAGCAAGGGGGCACUCCGCUGAGUGACCUGGAGUUGGCCCAGCAGUUGCAGCAAGAGGAAUACCAGCAGCAGCAGCCGGCCCCGGCCCCCGGGUCCCCCGCCCAGGCGAGGAGCCCACCACCGACCCGACCGGCCGGAGAGCGCAGGCAGCGCCAGAAGCAGGAUUCGGACUGCGUUCUCCUAUAACGCCGACCCUUCGAGGCGGCAUUUGGGGUUCCCGACCUCCCGAAUUGAUUGGGGAGAAGAAGACUUGGGGUCGCGCUCCACGCAAGGGCUGAAACCAAAACUCCUAUUUAUCGGUGUUUCUAAUUGUCUCCUCCCUCUGAUUUCCACUUAUUAUUAAUUAUUUUGGGAAGAGAAGACGCGCGGAGGGGAAAUAUAUCCCAUCCUCUCGGGUGCAAAACGGGACUAAACCAUAUCCCCGUUCCCAGGACUCGAGGGAGCUUUGAGUCCCAAAAAAAGAGUAACUAUUUCAAGCUCGACCUUUUUCCCUUUCUUUCCGACCACCGAAGCCUUCCCCUAGAAGAGCCGAGAUACGAAGUUUUGUGGCCUCUGCAAAGCUAUCUAGUCACGAGAA
rnacentral:lncRNA from 11 species